rnacentral:lncRNA from 1 species
GGCCCGAAGUAAUCUGGAGUUACUUAUACAGCUUUCAUGGAAUUCUGGAAGGCAAUUUGAAUAAGCCUGUUGAGAGCUCCAAAUCUGAAGUGGACAUUAUAGUGUCACAACAAGCAGUGAACUUGGAAACAACUGAACUUUCAGUGAAAGACCCCAAGUCAGAGCAUCUCUGAGAUGGGAUGACAGUCAUCACUGCAAGACUGCCUUCAUAUGAGGAAGUGGAGCCCAUAAAUGUGAGUCUGCCUUGCCACAGACAAUGAUUUAACUUGCAGACAUUGGAUGCCUACCAUUUUAGAGGCUA